rnacentral:rRNA from 1 species
CCUACGGGAGGCAGCAGUGGGGAAUAUUGCGCAAUGGGCGAAAGCCUGACGCAGCGACGCCGCGUGAGGGAUGAAGGUCUUCGGAUCGUAAACCUCUGUCAGCAGGGAAGAACGGUCACUGUGCUAAUCAGCAGUGAAUUGACGGUACCUGCAAAGGAAGCACCGGCUAACUCCGUGCCAGCAGCCGCGGUAAUACGGAGGGUGCGAGCGUUAAUCGGAAUUACUGGGGGUAAAGCGCACGUAGGCGGUAUGUCAAGUCAGGGGUGAAAGCCCCGAGCUCAACGUGGGAACUGCAUUUGAAACUGGCAAACUUGAGUGUGUUAGAGGAUGGUGGAAUUCCAGGUGUAGGAGUGAAAUCCGUACAGAUCUGGAGGAACAUCAGUGGCGAAGGCGACUAUCUGGCACAUAACUGACGCUGAGGAGCGAAAGCGUGGGUAGCAAACAGGAUUAGAUACCCCAGUAGUC